rnacentral:rRNA from 1 species
CAAGCGUUGUUCGGAUUUACUGGGCGUAAAGGGCGCGUAGGCGGCAAUUCAAGUCACUUGUGAAAUCUCCGAGCUUAACUCGGAACGGUCAAGUGAUACUGCUUUGCUAGAGUGCAGAAGGGGCAACCGGAAUUCUUGGUGUAGCGGUGAAAUGCGUAGAUAUCAAGAGGAACACCGGAGGUGAAGACGGGUUGCUGGGCUGACACUGACGCUGAGGCGCGAAAGCUAGGGUAGCAAACGGG